CCUGGGAAACGGGUGGUAAUGCCGGAUGCUCCGACUCCUCGCAUGGGGUGUCGGGAAAGAUUUCAUCGGUAUGGGAUGGGGUCGCGUCCUAUCAGGUAGUCGGCGGGGUAACGGCCCACCGAGCCUACGACGGGUAGCCGGCCUGAGAGGGCGACCGGCCACAUUGGGACUGAGAUACGGCCCAGACUCCUACGGGAGGCAGCAGUGGGGAAUAUUGCACAAUGGGCGCAAGCCUGAUGCAGCGACGCCGCGUGCGGGAUGACGGCCUUCGGGUUGUAAACCGCUUUUGAUCGGGAGCAAGCCUUCGGGUGAGUGUACCUUUCGAAUAAGCACCGGCUAACUACGUGCCAGCAGCCGCGGUAAUACGUAGGGUGCAAGCGUUAUCCGGAAUUAUUGGGCGUAAAGGGCUCGUAGGCGGUUCGUCGCGUCCGGUGUGAAAGUCCAUCGCUUAACGGUGGAUCUGCGCCGGGUACGGGCGGGCUGGAGUGCGGUAGGGGAGACUGGAAUUCCCGGUGUAACGGUGGAAUGUGUAGAUA
rnacentral:rRNA from 1 species